CAAGGUGCCAGGGUCCCUCUCUGUUUGGGCUCCUCUCCAACUCCUGGGACUAUGUCUCAGGCCUACGCUGCCGGAGCCAAGAGCGCAGGGCGGUGGACGGGGCAAGUCCCUUUUUGGAUCCCUUCCCUUCGUCCCUCUGUCUCCUUCUACGAACAGCCCUAUGCGUCAGACUCCUGCGCCCCCGCUACCUUCUUUGCUGCAUGGAUGGAUGGCCCAAGAAUAUAAUGGCCCAGGAGAAGAUGCGCUAAGAGGCUGCGGACACUGGUUUGAAGAAGCAGCCACAGAAGGGAGCCCAGUGGAGGCACGUUCUUGUCGGAAUUGAAGAAAAGAGGGAUCGAUUGGAGGAAAUGGCUAGAUGAAGCUCAUAGCUCCACAGUUCUAGUCACUCAGAUGGCGAGGGUGUCAUGGCAGCGCGGGGCCUGACACAGGAUUGAACAGCUAUAAGUUAUUGCUCUGGGUUUUAUUUUGAGACAAGGUCACAUGUAGUCAAGCCAUCCUGACCUCAAAGUUUCAAUGUAGCCAACCUUAGAGUUAUCCUGUCUCUGCCUCCCCAGUCCUGGGAUUGCAGCUUGCCCCAGACUGGGUUAGGCUGGACCUGUGCCAGGCCAAGAGCAGCCCGCCUGCAAUCGGGGAAAGAACCAUUCUGGUUGUGCCUUUCCUAGCUGGGCAUCAAGAAGAAGAACGAAGUCCAGAAUGAUAAAGAUGGAGGCGUGUCCAGGUACUUCCUGAUCUCCCUUCGAAUCGCCACUUAACUGUAAGACUGGUGUGGCGAGUCUGGAACUUUGGAGGAAGCCCUUGAGUCCAAAGUGGCACCGUGGGCACACCAAGAUAAGGGCUCUGCCUACCAUCUUGCCAUCAGUCAGGAGAGAAGGCCUGCACUUGGACCAGAAGUCAGUCAGACCUGAUGCUGAGCGAUUGCAUUUGCUCUGGGCCUCACUUUCCUUAUCUGGGCAAUGGGAUCAUAAUGCCUGCUGCCUGGCUAUCUUUGGAAGCUGUUUCAGAGUGGACAUGAGUUCUAAACUCAGCUCUGAAUCUCAACUGGCUUCAGCCCUCACGGCCAAGGUUUGGUUUUCCUCAUUAGCAAACUUCUCCCAGCUCCAUUUGUCAUUGGUGGGAGGGUGAGGGUGAAGUCGUGACUGUAGAGGCUUAUUGUUUAAACUGGGUAUCCAGCUCUCUGGAUGUUUCCUGUUUAAUGUGU
rnacentral:lncRNA from 1 species